rnacentral:piRNA from 1 species
UCCUUGCACCCAGUGCUGACCUCUCUAAC